rnacentral:lncRNA from 1 species
AAAAUCUGUUUUAACUUGAAACUUUCAGACCUGAAUAAUUUAGAUUGCCUGAUUGCUCCCCAAACUAACAUCUUCAUUUCUGUUUUGAUGGCAGAGAGGAGUGGAAGUGUCAUACUGUUGUAUAGAUUUUAAAUAACUUGAAGAAACUUUCCCAUCUAAUCAAGGAAAAUCAGAUUCAUACGCUUUCUAGAUGAGCAAAACUAUGCAAUCAUGCCAGGGGAAAAUGUGUUAGUCUGAGGACUGGUUCUUUUCUCCAAAGACAGCACAGGGAACUUAUUUGCAUAGAAAGGAAAUGAGAAGGGAUUGAUUCCCCAACCCUCUGAAUCGUUACAGUAUAUCUUGUAGAAUGUACCAACCUCAUAAAAUUGAUAAUAAGCACUUCAGUGUAAGUAUCUUCACAUAUUAGACAAUGGGUCAUAAUAUUCCUGACAAAAUUUGUUUAUCCCAUCAUAGACUAACUAAAAAUUAUGACUGAAAGACAAUAGCUAAAAUUUUGCACCACAAUUUUAGGUGGAUAUUUCUUAGUUAUACUGUUUUUCUCAUAAGGUUAUUCUGAGGCUUUGGAAGGCUAAUCAUUUUAUCGAAGGUCGUAUGAAAGGAGGAAUAAGCUGGUGACAGAUCAUUGGUGUCAUUUAUUUAACACACCAAAAUUGAUUUUCUCCAGAGUUGCUUGUCUGCAUGUUUGAAGACACUUUAGCAGAAGAAUCAAAAGCCAUUAUUUUGGCUUAAGUCAGUAUUUUGAAGAUUGGGGAGCCCAAAUUCAGGAGCCUCUGAAGGAUGUGAAUCUCAAAUAUUGCUUACCAAAUUGACAGCACUUACGGUAGUCUUCUCCAAACUGUUUUGUGGCUUUGAAUUAGUGAGCAUUCCAUCUCCUAAAAGUAAAACGAUGCCUCAAGUAGACCAACUAUGGGGCGAAGAGGAAGCCCUGAUAGUUCGAUCAUACACGUUAACACAUUCAAGGGUGAGUAUGCCUGCUUGCUUGUUUCUUUAGUUUCAUUUUCCUUAGCGCCUUCAGGGAUACUCUGAGUAUCUUCGAGUCCAGUCCAGAACAUCUUUUAAAAAUAUUUUCAAGUCACAUUUUUAGUUAGA